GAAAAAAAAAAUGGUUAAAAGGGCAUAAAAAAAACGAUCACAGGUGUUCGCGAUCAAGCAAAUAAAAUGCAUCUCUUACAAAACACAGAUACAAACUCACACAAUCAAAUGCAUUUUUAAAUCCACCAAACACCUAUCAAAUCAAGUUAAUGUUACAAGAUACAAGUUAGACGUAUGGCGACGCUUUAAAUCGCAUCUCUGGUGCCGUCUAGGCUGACCCGACUUUUGUGUAUUGAAAUUGAAAUGAAAUUACACUGUUGUGAUGGAUUAAUAACACACACACACACAUACAAAUACAAUAUGAUCUUUUAUAUUGUACUACAGACACACAUGUUAUGAAAGAUACACAAUUUGGCGGGAUAUUUUAAAUUUUACUA